rnacentral:rRNA from 1 species
ACAUGCAAGUCGAGCGGUAGAGAGGAGCUUGCUUCUCUUGAGAGCGGCGGACGGGUGAGUAAUGCCUAGGAAUCUGCCUGGUAGUGGGGGAUAACGUUCGGAAACGGACGCUAAUACCGCAUACGUCCUACGGGAGAAAGUGGGGGAUCUUCGGACCUCACGCUAUCAGAUGAGCCUAGGUCGGAUUAGCUAGUUGGUGGGGUAAAGGCUCACCAAGGCGACGAUCCGUAACUGUCUGAGAGGAUGAUCAGUCACACUGGAACUGAGACACGGUCCAGACUCCUACGGGAGGCAGCAGUGGGGAAUAUUGGACAAUGGGCGAAAGCCUGAUCCAGCCAUGCCGCGUGUGUGAAGAAGGUCUUCGGAUUGUAAAGCACUUUAAGUUGGGAGGAAGGGCAGUAAGUUAAUACCUUGCUGUUUUGACGUUACCGACAGAAUAAGCACCGGCUAACUCUGUGCCAGCAGCCGCGGUAAUACAGAGGGUGCAACGUUAAUCGGAAUUACUGGGCGUAAAGCGCGCGUAGGUGGUUUGGUAAGUUGGAUGUGAAAGCCCCGGGCUCAACCUGGGAACUGCAUCCAAAACUGCCAAGCUAGAGUACGGUAGAGGGUGGUGGAAUUUCCUGUGUAGCGGUGAAAUGCGUAGAUAUAGGAAGGAACACCAGUGGCGAAGGCGACCACCUGGACUGAUACUGACACUGAGGUGCGAAAC